AAGAGGUAGGGCAGGGCCAGCACAUUCCAGAUGCCUUGUGAUGUCACUGUUCUCAUGCUAGCUGGGUUCACAGCCAGUGGUCAUGGAAGUGCCCAGUGCUUCAGGCUCUGGCCAAGUCCUCAGACAGGAUGGAGGCUCACCUCCUGACCUUCUCUCCUCAGCAGCCCUGCAAGUUGGCCCCAGAAGAGGACCCAAGGAACUAUGCUCUUCUGCCCCAUAAAAUCUCGGUGGCAGGGCCAGGAUUAUCUUUCCUGCUGCACAGAUGGGAUGCUGAGUGUCAGCAAAAGGUUAAGGGAAGUUGCCCCUGAAUACAGCCAGUGGAGCAGAACUCAAGCCGAAACCUCUCUGCUCUGCCACUUACCGCAGUCUUGGCAUGGGAAUUGCCACCUUUUCAACCACGGGGUUCAGCCGAUAAUAGUCCAAAAAGGUUCUUGCCACAUUCCGCCCCAGCUUCAUAUCUGCAGGUGUGUGCGUUAAGGAGCAACUUCGAAAACAGAUUGAGACAGAGUGAAAAGAGAACUACUAAUAAAAAUAAUAACAGUAAUAAAAACAGUUACACACUCAUUGUUCUAA